AUGUGAUAAAGCAUAAUAGAAGAGGAAAAAGAAGAAAAAGGGCAAUAUCUAUCUGAUUUAUUUGUAAAUUUAUCUGCCAAUCUAUUUGGCUUUU
rnacentral:ribozyme from 12 species